rnacentral:rRNA from 1 species
GACGAACGCUGGCGGCGUGCUUAACACAUGCAAGUCGAACGGAAAGGCCUCUUUCGGGGGGUACUCGAGUGGCGAACGGGUGAGUAACACGUGAGUAACCUGCCCUUGACUUUGGGAUAACUUCAGGAAACUGGGGCUAAUACCGGAUAGGAGCUCCUGCUGCAUGGUGGGGGUGGGAAAGUUUCGGCGGUUGGGGAUGGACUCGCGGCUUAUCAGCUUGUUGGUGGGGGAGUGGCUUACCAAGGCGUUGACGGGUAGCCGGCCUGAGAGGGUGACCGGCCACAUUGGGACUGAGAUACGGCCCAGACUCCUACGGGAGGCAGCAGUGGGGAAUAUUGCACAAUGGGUGGAAGCCUGAUGCAGCAACGCCGUGUGCGGGAUGACGGCCUUCGGGUUGUAAACCGCUUUCGCUCAUGACGAAGCUUUGUGUGACGGUAGUGGGUAAAGAAGCACCGGCUAACUACGUG